UAGGUCCAGGUGUGCCUGACCAUGGCCUCCUUCUGUCUAUCUGUAGUAUUAGGGAUUCUCACAUUGAACAGCCAUACAACUUCCUUAACAGCGGUGGAGUUUGAUCAUUUCAUUCUGUCCCAUCAAUGGCCAGUUACAUUUUGCAAAACCAGAAAGUGCAACCAACCAUUACCAGCUCACUGGACUCUUCAUGGAUUUUGG